rnacentral:rRNA from 1 species
GACGAACGCUGGCGGCGUGCUUAACACAUGCAAGUCGAACGGAAAGGCCCUGCUUUUGUGGGGUGCUCCAGUGGCGAACGGGUGAGUAACACGUGAGUAACCUGCCCUUGACUUUGGGAUAACUUCAGGAAACUGGGGCUAAUACCGGAUAGGAGCUCCUGCUGCAUGGUGGGGGUUGGAAAGUUUCGGCGGUUGGGGAUGGACUCGCGGCUCAUCAGCUUGUUGGGGGGGUAGUGGCUUACCAAGGCUUUGCCGGGUAGCCGGCCUGAGAGGGUGACCGGCCACAUUGGGACUGAGAUACGGCCCAGACUACUACGGGAGGCAGCAGUGGGGAAUAUUGCACAAUGGGCGGAAGCCUGAUGCAGCAACGCCGCGUGCGGGAUGACGGCCUUCGGGUUGUAAACCGCUUUCGCCUGUGACGAAGCGUGAGUGACGGUAAUGGGUAAAGAAGCACCGGCUAACUACGUG